ensembl:lncRNA
CACAUUUUGUUUUAUUUUAUUAUUUCUGGAACAUUGAUUCAUGCUAACAUAAGUAUGUAUGUACAAAUACAUAAAAUAAGUUAUAACAAUAUAACGUAACAAGAAAAUAACCUUCAUAGUUUAAUACAAAAGCAUAUUCAUGUUGAAAAGGACUGUGGGAAGUCUCUCAUGUACGUGGAGUUACAGAUGCAUUUAAAUAUAUUCAUUAAAAUAGCUCUUCGUGCUUUCUGUGGUACUUCUGACCCUUACUAUGUAUAAUACUACAUACAAUACAUGAACCAUCUGACUGGGGAGUAGAAGAUGAAAUAAACAAGAAGAAAAAGCAAUUUUUCUUAAGAGUAUUAAAAUGAGCCAAGGUAGAGCUUUUGAUAUAGUAAUUUGAAUUUACAGUGGAGCUCAAAGAAGCUCAAAUUUGCAUGGCAUGUAGCUAAGAAAGUUGAGAAAACAUGUCUAUGUUCUAUUGUGUGCAGGGAAUUCACAGUCCUCAUUCAGUCGUUGGCUCCUUGAUGAUCUUCUUUCUACCUCUGUACUUAUUUAUGCAGCAUGCUCUUUACAAAUGUCCUCCUCUCUAGGAUUAGCUACAAAAAUCACGCAGACUGGCAGAAAGAUGUGCUAAUACUGAAUUUCGAUAACCUGAUACUCCCAUUCCUCAGCUUAAUCACUAACAAGAUCAAAUUCUCUGACAAAGAAAUGUAAAUGAAACACCUUGAAGUACAUUACGGAGCUGUUAGACCAAGUCUAGAAAGGUACAUUGCAACACUGUGGCUAUAACACCCAUCAGCUGAAACCCUCCUUGACUGAUCCUCCCUAAAGCAGCAAUGAACUUGCUGAUAAAAUAUAAAAAUAAAUAAAAAGCAAAAACCCAAUAAGCCCUACCUAUGUAAUUUAAUUACCCUCUACAGAUGCAGUAGGUGCAGUGUAAAUGGGAAAAUUACUCUGCAUGCAUUGGCUUGAAUUUCUAAUGAUGCAUUGUAUGUGCUCUACACUCAUUGCACUAAGCCGGUAUCAUGCUGUGAUCACAUUUGCAGCUUCCAAUAUCCAUCAUGUUUUGACUCUUUGCAAAGCUUUAAGUCUUACACAGGUCAUUUAUUUUUUAGCUAUUCCUUUGUUUUUGUGCUUGUAUACAUCAUUAAGUAUAUAUUUUUUUCUUUUUCCUUUUCUUUUUUUUUUCCCUCAAAGUGCAUGCAAAUUAUCUAUGUGAAUUGCUAAAUCAGCUUAGAGAGGGGCCAGGGACAUUAAUACAAACUGCAGGUGGUUUCCUGCUGCGUUACCCUAAUGUGAGCUAAAAUCAGCUUAUAAUAUACAUCUGGCAUUUUCACUAAGUGCAGUGUCACAGGAAUCGAUGUGUUUACAUAGUUUAAGUCAUUGAAGAGUAUAAUCCUUUAAGUUUUCCUACUGAUAAUCACAAAUGAAAACAGUAUUUCUUAUAGCAAGGAAAAGCAUUUAAUCCUUUUUUUUUUUUUUUUUUUAAUGCUUCUUAGGCAUCAGGCUAUUAAAUCCUUGUUUCUGAAUAGUUAAGUUCUGUCAUCAAACACAAUGGUGAAUCUUUGGCUGGCUAAUUAAAGUGUCAUAGAAUCACAGAAUGAUUUGGGAUGGAAGGGACCUCAAAGCUCAUCUUGAGCUCCACCACUUCCCUGGGCACCCUGUUCCAGACCCUGACGACUCUUUUGGAGAAGAAGUUUUUCCUCAUGU